rnacentral:rRNA from 1 species
AUUGAACGCUGGCGGCAUGCUUUACACAUGCAAGUCGAACGGUAACAGGCCGCAAGGUGCUGACGAGUGGCGAACGGGUGAGUAAUGCAUCGGAACGUGCCCAGUCGUGGGGGAUAACGCAGCGAAAGCUGUGCUAAUACCGCAUACGAUCUAAGGAUGAAAGCGGGGGACCGUAAGGCCUCGCGCGAUUGGAGCGGCCGAUGUCAGAUUAGGUAGUUGGUGGGGUAAAGGCCCACCAAGCCAACGAUCUGUAGCUGGUCUGAGAGGACGACCAGCCACACUGGGACUGGGACACGGCCCAGACUCCUACGGGAGGCAGCAGUGGGGAAUUUUGGACAAUGGGCGCAAGCCUGAUCCAGCAAUGCCGCGUGCAGGAAGAAGGCCUUCGGGUUGUAAACUGCUUUUGUACGGAACGAAACGGUCUGGGUUAAUACCCUGGGCUAAUGACGGUACCGUAAGAAUAAGCACCGGCUAACUACGUGCCAGCCGCCGCAGUAAAAC